rnacentral:rRNA from 1 species
AGAGUUUGAUCCUGGCUCAGAACGAACGCUGGCGGCAGGCCUAACACAUGCAAGUCGAACGGGUGUAGCAAUACAUCAGUGGCAGACGGGUGAGUAACGCGUGGGAAUCUCCCCAGAGGUACGGAACAACUCAGGGAAACUUGAGCUAAAACCGUAUGUGCCCGAGAGGGCAAAGAUUUAUCGCCUUUGGAUGAGCCCGCGUUGGAUUAGCUAGUUGGUGGGGUAACGGCCUACCAAGGCUACGAUCCAUAGCUGAUCUGAGAGGAUGAUCAGCCACACUGGGACUGAGACACGGCCCAGACUCCUACGGGAGGCAGCAGUGGGGAAUCUUGCGCAAUGGGCGAAAGCCUGACGCAGCAGCGCCGCGUGUGGGAUGAAGGCUUUCGGGUUGUAAACCACUUUCAGCAGGAACGAAAUUGACGGUACCUGCAGAAGAAGCUCCGGCCAACUACGUGCCAGCCGCCGCGGUAAU